rnacentral:rRNA from 1 species
AUACGUAGGUGGCGAGCGUUGUCCGGAAUUACUGGGCGUAAAGGGCGCGCAGGCGGGUAUUUAAGUCAGAUGUGUAAUCUACAGGCUCAACCUGUAGUUUGGAUCUGAUACUGGAUAUCUUGAGGGUAGGAGAGGACAGUGGAAUUCCUAGUGUAGCGGUGAAAUGCGUAGAUAUUAGGAGGAACACCAGUGGCGAAGGCGGCUGUCUGGCCUACAACUGACGCUGAGGCGCGAAAGCGUGGGGAGCGAACAGGAUUAGAUACCCUGGUAGUCCACGCCGUAAACGAUGGGUACUAGGUGUAGGAGGUAUCGACCCCUUCUGUGCCGGAGUUAACACAAUAAGUACCCCGCCUGGGGACUACGGCCGCAAGGUUAAA